rnacentral:rRNA from 1 species
AGGGAACGGGCUUGGGAUAAUCAGCGGGGAAAGAAGACCCUGUUGAGCUUGACUCUAGUCCGACGUUGUGAAAUGACUUGUGAGGUGUAGUAUAAGUGGGAGCUACUAGCAAUAGCCAGCGCACAUGAAAUACCACUACUCGUAAUGUUGUUUUACUUAUUCCAUCACGUAUCGUCCAGCACCUCCAAAGGGUCCUGGUUCUAGCACCAACUGCCGCAUCGCAGAUGAUGCUGUUCUCACCAACACAUCAUCGCGGCACCAGAUACGUGGGAGACAACGUCAGGUGGGGAGUUUGGCUGGGGCGGUACAUCUGUUAAACAACAACGCAGGUGUCCUACGGAAAGCUCAAAGAGAACAGAAAUCUCUUGUAGACCAAAAGGGGAAAAGCUUUCUUGAUUUUGAUUUUCAGUAAAAAUACAAACCGGGAAACCGUGGCCUAUCGAUCCUUUCAGUUUUUGGAAUUUGAAGUGAGAGGUGUCAGAAAAGUUACCACAGGGAUAACUGACUUGUGGCCACCAAGCGAUCAUAGCGACGUGGCUUUUUGAUCCUUCGAUGUCGGCUCUUCCUAUC